GACGAACGCUGGCGGCGUGCCUAAUACAUGCAAGUAGAACGCACAGUUUAUACCGUAGCUUGCUACACCAUAGACUGUGAGUUGCGAACGGGUGAGUAACGCGUAGGUAACCUGCCUGGUAGCGUGGGAUAACUAUUGGAAACGAUAGCUAAUACCGCAUAAUAUUAAUUAUUGCAUGAUAAUUAAUUGAAAGGUGCAAUUGCACCACUACCAGAUGGACCUGCGUUGUAUUAGCUAGUAGGUGAGGUAACGGCUAAACUAGGCGACGAUACAUAGCCGGCCUGAGAGGGUGAUCGGCCAAGCUGGGAAGGGAGCAAGGCCCAGAAUACUACGGGAGGGAGCAGUAGGGGAUCUUUGGAAAAGGAAGAAAGGCUGAACGAGGAACGACGGGUGAGUGAAGGAGGUUUUCGGAUCGUAAAGGUCUGUUGUAAGGGAAGGAAGGGUGGGAGAGUGAAAAGUUCACACUGUGACGGUAUCUUAAGAGAAAGCGACGGCUAACUACGUG
rnacentral:rRNA from 1 species